CACACCCUCGACUCUGCGCUCUUUCUGAACAAGGAGGUGAAUGCGAUACUUGCAUUGGGGGACACAGUUAUGGCUAUGCAAGAGGAAAGAAUUCUCGUCUCCAAGUACAUCUCGCAGUCCACUCAAAAUGAAAACGCGUCUAAAAAAUCGGAUCUAGAAGACGCAUUUUCGAAAACAGACUCACUUCUGGAAAAACUUCCACAAUCCAUCUUUCAAGACCACAAGCAGUAUUUAUAGUGAGUAUAGUAAUUUCAAUUUAUUGCAUCAAAAAUUAGAGUCCG